CAGUAGCCGCGGUAAUACGGAGGGUGCAAGCGUUAAUCGGAAUUACUGGGCGUAAAGCGCACGCAGGCGGUUAUAUAAGACAGAUGUGAAAUCCCCGGGCUCAACCUGGGAACUGCAUUUGUGACUGUAUAGCUAGAGUACGGCAGAGGGGGAUGGAAUUCCGCGUGUAGCAGUGAAAUGCGUAGAUAUGCGGAGGAACACCGAUGGCGAAGGCAAUCCCCUGGGCCUGUACUGACGCUCAUGCACGAAAGCGUGGGGAGCAAACAGGAUUAGAUACCCCAGUAGUCCCUGUCUCUUAUAC
rnacentral:rRNA from 1 species